UACGUAGGGGGCAAGCGUUGUCCGGAAUUAUUGGGCGUAAAGAGCGUGUAGGCGGCCAGAUAAGUCCGCUGUGAAAUCUCGAGGCUCAACUUCGAGCUGUCGGUGGAAACUAUCUGGCUAGAGUCCGGAAGAGGAGAAUGGAAUUCCUGGUGUAGCGGUGAAAUGCGCAGAUAUCGGGAGGAACACCUGUGGCGAAAGCGGCGCACUGGACCAUAACUGACGCUGAGGCGCGAAAGCUAGGGGAGCAAACGGG
rnacentral:rRNA from 1 species